UUCCAGGGUGCCUGUUCUUAUCCUGAGCCUUCGUAUAAACCUCCAUAACACCAUAUAAACAUAAUGUAACACAAUGUAACACCAUAUAAACACAAUGUAACACAAUAUACCAUGUAAACUCAAUGUAACACACUAUAACAUCAUGUAAACACAAUGUAACACAAUAUAACACCAUGUAAACACAAUAUAACACCAUGUAAACACAAUAUAACAUCAUGUAAACACAAUGUAACACAAUAUAACACCAUGUAAACACAAUGUAACACAAUAUAA